AUUGAACGCUGGCGGCAGGCCUAACACAUGCAAGUCGAGCGGAUGAAGGGAGCUUGCUCCUGGAUUCAGCGGCGGACGGGUGAGUAAUGCCUAGGAAUCUGCCUGGUAGUGGGGGAUAACGUCCGGAAACGGGCGCUAAUACCGCAUACGUCCUGAGGGAGAAAGUGGGGGAUCUUCGGACCUCACGCUAUCAGAUGAGCCUAGGUCGGAUUAGCUAGUUGGUGGGGUAAAGGCCUACCAAGGCGACGAUCCGUAACUGGUCUGAGAGGAUGAUCAGUCACACUGGAACUGAGACACGGUCCAGACUCCUACGGGAGGCAGCAGUGGGGAAUAUUGGACAAUGGGCGAAAGCCUGAUCCAGCCAUGCCGCAUGUGUGAAGAAGGUCUUCGGAUUGUAAAGUACUUUAAGUUGGGAGGAAGGGCAGUAAGUUAAUACCUUGCUGUUUUGACGUUACCAACAGAAUAAGCACCGGCUAACUUCGUG
rnacentral:rRNA from 1 species